CAUAUAACCUUCAAAGCUCAGCACUGCUGCCAGACAAAUCGAAACAAGCAACGGAGAUGGCAUCCAAAAUCAUGGGAAAACUUUUGUACCUUACUCUUCUAGCGCUCAUUAUAGCUGCUAUCGCUCACGUAAGAGCUUAUGCUCCAUCUACAACAUUUCCUCCUCUCGAACUUACAACCGAGCGUCCUAUCUGUGUGGGCGAAGAAUGUCACGAAGAUGAUCACUUACCGUAGAAUGUUGCUUAAAUAAAAUAGAUCAGCAAAAUACUGUCACUCAUGCAAGAGCUGAUCCUGCCACAGAA